AGAAGAAGAAGAAGAAGAAGAAAAAGAAGAAGAAGAAGAAGAAGAAGGAUGAGGACGAGGAUUCCAGCUCUUCUUCAUCUGAUAGUGAAGAUGACAAGAAGAAAAAGAAGAAGAAGAAGGAGAAGAAGAAAAAAAAGAAGAAGAAGAAGGAGGAUUCCAGCUCUUCUUCCUCUUCCUCCUCAUCUCCUUCUGAUAGUGAGGAUGACAAGAA